AUUGAACGCUGGCGGCAGGCCUAACACAAGCAAGUCGAGCGGAGCGGCAGACGGGUGAGUAAUGCCUAGGAAUCUGCCUGGUCGUGGGGGAUGACGUCCGGAAACGGACGCUAAUACCGCUUCCUCUCAGAUGAGCCUAGGUCGGAUUAGCUCGUUGGUGGGGGAAAGGCCUACCAAGGCGACGAUCCGUAGCUGGUCUGAGAGGAUGAUCAGUCACACUGGAACUGAGACACGGUCCAGACUCCUACGGGAGGCAGCAGUGGGGAAUAUUGGACAAUGGGCGAAAGCCUGAUCCAGCCAUGCCGCGUGUGUGAAGAAGGUCUUCGGAUUGUAAAGCACUUUAAGUUGGGAGGCGUUACCAACAGAAGAAGCACCGGCUAACUUCGUGCCAGCAGCCGCGGUAAUAC
rnacentral:rRNA from 1 species